AGCAUAUAAGCGUGAAACUGACUCCAAGAUGAGAUCUCAAUCCCGUAAGGGUGAAGAGUCGUGGUAGACUACCACGUUGAUAGGCCGGAGGUGGAAGCGCUGCAAGGCGUGGAGCUGACCGGUACUAAUCGCUCGGAAAUUUUUACUAA
rnacentral:rRNA from 1 species